GAGGCAAUUUAUCACAGUACGACGCUAGUGGAUCCUAGUUAGUUUCACCUCCUCAUGAUCCAACGUAUGAUGCUUUGUGGCUGGCUCAGUUUCUGAUAUUUUCAUAAUCUUUAUGAUUCGACAAGGACACGGUUAGUUCUAAAAUCGUCUUUCUUCAACUGUCAGUGCUCGCCUGAUUAUCGACAACAAAUUCCUGCAUGCUACGUACCACCUGUAUCCCACGAUUAGCAUUACCCAGACCCCGGAGUCUCAAGGCGAAAGACCCAGUUGACGAAUGGCUCAGGCUUUGGAUAGUGAGGUGUGCGCCGUCAUGGGCUGUCGUGGGAUUCUCUCGGCUUACACCGCGAUUCUUCUUUUCUCAAUGGGAUGAUUGUACUGGAAAGGUGGCACAAAGUAUCAGAAUGGCACAGCUGAUCUAGAAAAGUGAGCGUAUUCCUAUUUUACCAGCGCAUGGCAGACCAGAUAGUUCUACCGCUCGCUGAACUUCAGGGAUCUGAAUUCUGGCAAAGUAAUUUGAAAGUGCUCCGUUACACGAACGAAGGACUCCGUGCUGUGACUACGGGGGUUAUCACGGCAUGAUAAGGUAUUGAUGAUUGGCACUUGUAGUGUAUGAUUUUGAGCGACUGCACUAUCCAACCAGUACCAAGGUCCAUACUCUGUAUUACAUCGCACAUCGACUCAUAUUUUAGACUUCCUACUAGGUGCGAAUGGAAGGCGUCGAUCGGACAAAUCUUACGAUAACGGCGUACUCCGUACAGGAUGUAUAUCAAUGUCGUCCGUACUGCUCAAAUACCCUCCGACAUUGAGGUUAUUGUAGUCAGCAUCAUAAGCGUUGGUUGCAAGAUCUAAUCCAUGUGGCAUGUGUUGGAUGGUGAGACAAUGGCGUAAUGGAGGCUUUGCAGACGGAUAUUAACUUCCUUUCGUAAGAUUACGUACGCUGUACGGAGAGUAACUAGUUAACUAACUAACUUAACUAACUAACUUAACUAACUAACUUAACUUAGUUAAUUUCACUUGAAGGUCCAAGGACGACUAGCGUAGGCACCGUUUCGUCUCUCACCACUCUUAGACCUCUGAAUUGAAUGAAAUUCAUAAAGAGUUCCCCGCUUAUCCACGUAGGACGCUACAUGCCAUGUAUGCCUAGCAGGCUAGUCCAGCAAAUCUCAAUUGGAGUUAUCAUUUGAAAUGACUUGCAGGCAAGGCAGAGGGACAACUCUGCUACGGAAGGAUUACUGAUUUAAGACGGUGCUGGGGGAGGCGAGCAGAGGGGUCAUCCCGUGUUACUGGGCUAUAAUGCCUUGCUGAAACCUCUCUGGGAUAGAAAGAUGAGACGAAGACUUCAUAACGUACUAUAGUAUGAGUCUUGUACUCUGCGGAGUUCAACUCCUGUAUACUACAGUAGUAGAGUGUACCGGCACCGUAAUGCAUAUUACAU
rnacentral:lncRNA from 1 species